rnacentral:tRNA from 4 species
GCGGGAGUGGCGAAAUUGGCAGACGCACUAGAUUUAGGUUCUAGCGCUUAAUAGGCGUGUGGGUUCAAGUCCCACCUUCCGCACCA